rnacentral:rRNA from 1 species
GGGUUGUGAGGUUAAGCGACUAAGCGUACACGGUGGAUGCCCUGGCAGUCAGAGGCGAUGAAGGACGUGCUAAUCUGCGAUAAGCGUCGGUAAGGUGAUAUGAACCGUUAUAACCGGCGAUUUCCGAAUGGGGAAACCCAGUGUGAUUCGUCACACUAUCAUUAACUGAAUCCAUAGGUUAAUGAGGCGAACCGGGGGAACUGAAACAUCUAAGUACCCCGAGGAAAAGAAAUCAACCGAGAUUCCCCCAGUAGCGGCGAGCGAACGGGGAGCAGCCCAGAGCCUGAAUCAGUGUGUGUGUUAGUGGAAGCGUCUGGAAAGGCGCGCGAUACAGGGUGACAGCCCCGUACACAAAAAUGCACAUGCUGUGAGCUCGAUGAGUAGGGCGGGACACGUGGUAUCCUGUCUGAAUAUGGGGGGACCAUCCUCCAAGGCUAAAUACUCCUGACUGACCGAUAGUGAACCAGUACCGUGAGGGAAAGGCGAAAAGAACCCCGGCGAGGGGAGUGAAAAAGAACCUGAAACCGUGUACGUACAAGCAGUGGGAGCACGCUUAGGCGUGUGACUGCGUACCUUUUGUAUAAUGGGUCAGCGACUUAUAUUCUGUAGCAAGGUUAACCGAAUAGGGGAGCCGAAGGGAAACCGAGUCUUAACUGGGCGUUAAGUUGCAGGGUAUAGACCCGAAACCCGGUGAUCUAGCCAUGGGCAGGUUGAAGGUUGGGUAACACUAACUGGAGGACCGAACCGACUAAUGUUGAAAAAUUAGCGGAUGACUUGUGGCUGGGGGUGAAAGGCCAAUCAAACCGGGAGAUAGCUGGUUCUCCCCGAAAGCUAUUUAGGUAGCGCCUCGUGAAUUCAUCUCCGGGGGUAGAGCACUGUUUCGGCAAGGGGGUCAUCCCGACUUACCAACCCGAUGCAAACUGCGAAUACCGGAGAAUGUUAUCACGGGAGACACACGGCGGGUGCUAACGUCCGUCGUGAAGAGGGAAACAACCCAGACCGCCAGCUAAGGUCCCAAAGUCAUGGUUAAGUGGGAAACGAUGUGGGAAGGCCCAGACAGCCAGGAUGUUGGCUUAGAAGCAGCCAUCAUUUAAAGAAAGCGUAAUAGCUCACUGGUCGAGUCGGCCUGCGCGGAAGAUGUAACGGGGCUAAACCAUGCACCGAAGCUGCGGCAGCGACGCUUAUGCGUUGUUGGGUAGGGGAGCGUUCUGUAAGCCUGUGAAGGUGUGCUGUGAGGCAUGCUGGAGGUAUCAGAAGUGCGAAUGCUGACAUAAGUAACGAUAAAGCGGGUGAAAAGCCCGCUCGCCGGAAGACCAAGGGUUCCUGUCCAACGUUAAUCGGGGCAGGGUGAGUCGACCCCUAAGGCGAGGCCGAAAGGCGUAGUCGAUGGGAAACAGGUUAAUAUUCCUGUACUUGGUGUUACUGCGAAGGGGGGACGGAGAAGGCUAUGUUGGCCGGGCGACGGUUGUCCCGGUUUAAGCGUGUAGGCUGGUUUUCCAGGCAAAUCCGGAAAAUCAAGGCUGAGGCGUGAUGACGAGGCACUACAGUGCUGAAGCAACAAAUGCCCUGCUUCCAGGAAAAGCCUCUAAGCAUCAGGUAACAUCAAAUCGUACCCCAAACCGACACAGGUGGUCAGGUAGAGAAUACCAAGGCGCUUGAGAGAACUCGGGUGAAGGAACUAGGCAAAAUGGUGCCGUAACUUCGGGAGAAGGCACGCUGAUAUGUAGGUGAAGCGACUUGCUCGUGGAGCUGAAAUCAGUCGAAGAUACCAGCUGGCUGCAACUGUUUAUUAAAAACACAGCACUGUGCAAACACGAAAGUGGACGUAUACGGUGUGACGCCUGCCCGGUGCCGGAAGGUUAAUUGAUGGGGUCAGCGCAAGCGAAGCUCUUGAUCGAAGCCCCGGUAAACGGCGGCCGUAACUAUAACGGUCCUAAGGUAGCGAAAUUCCUUGUCGGGUAAGUUCCGACCUGCACGAAUGGCGUAAUGAUGGCCAGGCUGUCUCCACCCGAGACUCAGUGAAAUUGAACUCGCUGUGAAGAUGCAGUGUACCCGCGGCAAGACGGAAAGACCCCGUGAACCUUUACUAUAGCUUGACACUGAACAUUGAGCCUUGAUGUGUAGGAUAGGUGGGAGGCUUUGAAGUGUGGACGCCAGUCUGCAUGGAGCCGACCUUGAAAUACCACCCUUUAAUGUUUGAUGUUCUAACGUUGACCCGUAAUCCGGGUUGCGGACAGUGUCUGGUGGGUAGUUUGACUGGGGCGGUCUCCUCCUAAAGAGUAACGGAGGAGCACGAAGGUUGGCUAAUCCUGGUCGGACAUCAGGAGGUUAGUGCAAUGGCAUAAGCCAGCUUGACUGCGAGCGUGACGGCGCGAGCAGGUGCGAAAGCAGGUCAUAGUGAUCCGGUGGUUCUGAAUGGAAGGGCCAUCGCUCAACGGAUAAAAGGUACUCCGGGGAUAACAGGCUGAUACCGCCCAAGAGUUCAUAUCGACGGCGGUGUUUGGCACCUCGAUGUCGGCUCAUCACAUCCUGGGGCUGAAGUAGGUCCCAAGGGUAUGGCUGUUCGCCAUUUAAAGUGGUACGCGAGCUGGGUUUAGAACGUCGUGAGACAGUUCGGUCCCUAUCUGCCGUGGGCGCUGGAGAACUGAGGGGGGCUGCUCCUAGUACGAGAGGACCGGAGUGGACGCAUCACUGGUGUUCGGGUUGUCAUGCCAAUGGCACUGCCCGGUAGCUAAAUGCGGAAGAGAUAAGUGCUGAAAGCAUCUAAGCACGAAACUUGCCCCGAGAUGAGUUCUCCCUGACCCUUUAAGGGUCCUGAAGGAACGUUGAAGACGACGACGUUGAUAGGCCGGGUGUGUAAGCGCAGCGAUGCGUUGAGCUAACCGGUACUAAUGAACCGUGAGGCUUAACCUUACAACGCCGAAG